UCUGCGAGAGCAGUAGCUGCUCUUAUCCACUGAGUUGUCUCUCCAGCCCUCCUACUGUUGUCUGUCUUCUUGCUUGCUUUUUCUUUUUCUUUUCUUCUUGUUGUUGCUGUUGUUUUUGGUUUUUUUUUUUGAGUCAGGGUUUCUCUGUGUAGCCUUGGCUGUUCUGGAACUCACUCUGUAGACCAGGCUAGCCUCAAACUCAGAGAUCCAUCUGCCUCCCCUUCCCAAGUGCUGGGAUUAAAGGUGUGCAUCACUACUGCCUAGCGUUGUUGUUGGUGGUGGUGGUGGUAGUGGUGGCAGUGGCAGCAUUUUUUUUUUUUUUCCAAUCACAGCCUCCCUCCAUGCUCCCAGCUGUCUAAGCUCUUCCUCUAUGGAGGCCCGAGAAGGGCAUAUCUCACCCUGUUCCCUGCCUGUUUGCAUUGCCAGCUCAGCUUGAGAGCCAGGAGCACAGGGAACAGAUCUCAAGGGUGCCAGAGGCAGCCUUCUCCACCAAGGUUCCUGCUCCUGGACACAAGGCUCUAAUAUGGGUAGUCUGGAGACUGGUCUGAAAUGUGUUGACAUUUAACUGUUCGGUUUUGCUGAAGGCUGACAGGGACAUUGUGCUCUUUAAAACGGCCAGCGUGUCCCAGAGCGCCGGCCCGCCUCCUCAUGGAGAACUCAUUUGUGUGUGGUUUCUGCUUAGAAAGCCACUGCACUUUGUUUGCUAAGCAACUGAUUCGAGGCAAUAUGCAAGUUCUGAUUCCUGGGGACGUUUCUCUCAUGGAGGAGAAGGCCACUUCUGAGUCAGUCUCAAAAGCUCUACGCUGCCCGGGUGGGUUCCGUGGCACCCGUGCCUUCUGGAACCAGCCUCUAGGAAGGUGCUAGUGCGACUGGCCUAGGACAUGUGUUUAACACUGAAGUUGGGGAUCUGCUGUGCCUGCUGCUGGGUGUCAUACAUUGGGGACACAUUGGUCUAGGAAUGUAGCUGCGGGGUAGAGCACACUCACACGUGUGCAAGGCCCUGUCCUGUGUUCUGUGAGCAUCACAAGAGAAACCACCUUGAAAAGGAUGUGCAUCUACCACACUGUAAAGGAUGUGCACCUACCACACUGUAAAGGAUGUGCACCUACCACACUGUAAAGGAUGUGCCUCUACCACACUGUAAAGGAUGUGCACCUACCACACUGUAAAGGAUGUGCACCUACCAUACUGUAAAGGAUGUGUACCUACCACACUGUAAAGGAUGUGCACCUACCACACUGUAAAGGAUGUGCCUCUACCACACUGUAAAGGAUGUGUACCUACCACACUGUAAAGGAUGUGCACCUACCACACUGUAAAGGAUGUACACCUACCACACUGUAAAGGAUGUGCAUCUACCACACUGUAAAGGAUGUACACCUACCACACUGUAAAGGAUGUGCACCUACCACACUGUAAAGGAUGUGCCUCUACCACACUGUAAAGGAUGUGCACCUACCACACUGUAAAGGAUGUGCACCUACCACACUGUAAAGGAUGUGCACCUACCACACUGUAAAGGAUGUGCACCUACCACACUGUAAAGUAUGUGCAUCUACCACACUGUAAAAGACGUGCAUUGAUUUGUUUGAUUGUUAGUUGAGGAAAGGUUUUGCUAGGUCGUCCUGGCUGACCUGGUACUCACUAUUUAACACAGGUUGGCCUUGAACUCAUGGUUAUCCUACUAUGUCAGCCUCCUUGAGUUGCUGGGAUUAUAGGCACGUGGGGUCCUAGCUGUUUCUGUUUGUUUGUUUUCCUUAACUGUCUUUUCAUCUUGUCUGUGGACAAAGCCCCAGCCUUUCUUCCCUCCUCCCUCUGCUUUGGUGUGACACACCUCGGAGACAGAGCUGUCUGGAGGAGGGGCCAUGAUUGGAGAACACAAAUGAAUAGCUUUUCUUGGCAAGUCGGGGUUUGUUCGCAGCCACCUUCCCUUGGAGCCACAGUCCAAGCUCACAUCUGCAUACAUACGACAUGCAAAUCAUAUUUUCAGCUUACGUUUUUAAAGUACUGACAUUUCCAGGGCUGGUGGUUGGCACAGAGUGAAGCAGUCCUGGGACCAAUAGGCGAGUCAUUUUGCAGCCCCCGGGAUGAAGAAGAGUGUGUGCUUUACAGUGCCAGGCACAUAGAAUAACACAGUGGUCCCUCGGAUUUUUGGUGGUCUCUAGUUUUGCCUUCCAUACGUUUCAGUUACUGACAAUCUGAGGACAUUACAUGGAGAGUUGUAAAAAGAAACAGCGGGUAGGUUUGAAACUGCACGCUGAAGUUCCGAAGCUGCAGGAGGACAUCUCAGACAAUCCCCUCGGCUAUCCUGCAUAUCCACAUUGUAUAUGCUACCCUCCCAUCUGUCUAGAGACAGAUGUUGGUGGACAGCAGUGCUUCUGUUCAGGUAGCCCUUACUCUAGUGAAUAAUUGCCCCAAAGCACCACAGUUAGUGCGGUGGUAGCAAUUCAGGCAUGCCAAGAAGCCGCCCGCAGGAUGCUGCUUCUAAGUGAAAAGGUUAAAAAAAUGUUACAAGG
rnacentral:lncRNA from 1 species